rnacentral:sRNA from 1 species
UCCGCGAUGGUCCAGGCUUGGCCGGAACA